GUGCUCGCUUCGGCGGCACAUAUACUAGAAGUGGGACAAUACAGAGAUUAGCAUGGCCCCUGUGCAGGGGGGACACCCAAGUUCAUGAAGCAUUUCAUGUUUUA